UUCAUCUUUAAAAAAAUACGAAUAAUAUUAAUUAUUAAUAUUGAUGAUCUCAAAAAUUAAUAAUGUGUUUUUGUAAAUAUACCUAAAUGAUAUGAUUAGUAGGGGUCACUAUACAUAAAUUUCUACCAAAAUGAGUUGCAACGACGGAUUUGAAUAGUCAAGAUUUGUCGUGAACCACCCUUCGUUCGAGCCUUCACCGUCGUGCGCUCUCCAAACCAAAUCCCCUCCUCUCUUUGUUGUCCAAACUCGUUGUGGGUGUUUGGUUUCUUACGAGAAAC
rnacentral:lncRNA from 1 species